GACGAACCGUGCAAACGUUAUUCGGAAUCACUGGGCUUAAAGGGCGCGUAGGCGGGUAACCAAGUCCGGGGUGAAAUCCUCCAGCUUAACUGGAGAAGUGCCUCGGAUACUGGUCGUCUCGAGGAGGGUAGGGGCAUCUGGAACUAGCGGUGGAGCGGUGAAAUGCGUUGAUAUCGCUAGGAACUCCGAUGGCGAAGGCAAGGUGCUGGACCCUUUCUGACGCUGAGGCGCGAAAGCCAGGGGAGCGAACGGGAUUAGAUACCCCGGUAGUCCUGGCCCUAAACGAUGAGAACUAGAUAGCGGGAUUGAUAUGGUCUCGCUGUCGGAGCAAAAGUGCUAAGUUCUCCGCCUGGGGAGUAUGGUCGCAAGGCUGAA
rnacentral:rRNA from 1 species